UACGGAGGGGGCUAGCGUUGUUCGGAAUUACUGGGCGUAAAGCGCACGUAGGCGGAUCAGUAAGUUAGAGGUGAAAGCCCAGGGCUCAACCCUGGAACUGCCUUUGAUACUGCUAGUCUAGAGAUCGAGAGAGGUGAGUGGAAUUCCGAGUGUAGAGGUGAAAUUCGUAGAUAUUCGGAGGAACACCAGUGGCGAAGGCGGCUCGCUGGCUCGAUACUGACGCUGAGGUGCGAAAGCGUGGGGAGCAAACAGG
rnacentral:rRNA from 1 species